rnacentral:tRNA from 1 species
GACCGCGUAGCUCAGUUGGCAGAGUAUUGGGCUAGUAUUCCAAAGGUCGUAGGUUCGAUUCCCACCUUGGCCA